CCCUUAGAUGUUCUGGGCCGCACGCGCGCUACACUGAUCGGUUCAUCGAGUUUACAACCUUGACUGAGAGGUCUGGGUAAUCUUUUUAAUGCCGAUCGUGAUGGGGAUAGACUCUUGCAAUUUUUAGUCUUGAACGAGGAAUUCCUAGUAAACGCAAGUCAUCAACUUGCAUUGAUUACGUCCCUGCCCUUUGUACACACCGCCCGUCGCUACUACCGAUUGAAUGAUUUAGUGAGUUCCAUGGACAGGCGCGCUCUGUUGGGUUUCCUUCAUUGCGUGCUGGGAAGUGGCACAAACUUGAUUAUUUAGAGGAAGUAAAANUCGUAACA
rnacentral:rRNA from 1 species